rnacentral:rRNA from 1 species
CCUCCUUCGGGAGGGGAUUAGUGGCGAACGGGUGAGUAACACGUGGGCAAUCUGCCCUGCACUCUGGGACAAGCCCUGGAAACGGGGUCUAAUACCGGAUACUGAUCAUCUUGGGCAUCCUUGGUGAUCGAAAGCUCCGGCGGUGCAGGAUGAGCCCGCGGCCUAUCAGCUUGUUGGUGAGGUAAUGGCUCACCAAGGCGACGACGGGUAGCCGGCCUGAGAGGGCGACCGGCCACACUGGGACUGAGACACGGCCCAGACUCCUACGGGAGGCAGCAGUGGGGAAUAUUGCACAAUGGGCGAAAGCCUGAUGCAGCGACGCCGCGUGAGGGAUGACGGCCUUCGGGUUGUAAACCUCUUUCAGCAGGGAAGAAGCGAAAGUGACGGUACCUGCAGAAGAAGCGCCGGCUAACUACGUGCCAGCAGCCGCGGUAAUACGUAGGGCGCGAGCGUUGUCCGGAAUUAUUGGGCGUAAAGAGCUCGUAGGCGGCUUGUCGCGUCGGUUGUGAAAGCCCGGGGCUUAACCCCGGGUCUGCAGUCGAUACGGGCAGGCUAGAGUUCGGUAGGGGAGAUCGGAAUUCCUGGUGUAGCGGUGAAAUGCGCAGAUAUCAGGAGGAACACCGGUGGCGAAGGCGGAUCUCUGGGCCGAUACUGACGCUGAGGAGCGAAAGCGUGGGGAGCGAACAGGAUUAGAUACCCUGGUAGUCCACGCCGUAAACGGUGGGCACUAG